UACGUAGGGUGCAGGCGUUAAUCGGAAUUACUGGGCGUAAAGCGUGCGCAGGCGGGCUUUUAAGCCAGACGUGAAAUCCCCGGGCUUAACCUGGGAAUGGCGUUUGGGACUGGAAGUCUGGAGUGCGGCAGAGGAGACUGGAAUUCCUGGUGUAGCAGUGAAAUGCGUAGAUAUCAGGAGGAACACCGAUGGCGAAGGCAGGUCUCUGGGCUGACACUGACGCUCAUGCACGAAAGCGUGGGGAGCAAACAGG
rnacentral:rRNA from 1 species